rnacentral:rRNA from 1 species
UAGGUAGGUGGUCUCAUUUGUCUGGGGUGAAAUCCUUGGGCUUAACUCAAGAAGUGCCCCAGAAACGGUGAGACUCGAGUCUUGGAGAGGGUCGUGGAAUUCCCGGUGUAGCGGUGAAAUGCGUAGAGAUCGGGAGGAACACCAGAGGCGAAGGCGGCGACCUGGACAAGUACUGACACUCAACUACGAAAGCGUGGGGAGCAAACA